AGUGAACGCUGGCGGUAGGCCUAGCACAUGCAAGUCGAACGGCAGCACAGUAAGAGCUUGCUCUUACGGGUGGCGAGUGGCGGACGGGUGAGGAAUACAUCGGAAUCUACUUUUUCGUGGGGGAUAACGUAGGGAAACUUACGCUAAUACCGCAUACGACCUACGGGUGAAAGCAGGGGAUCUUCGGACCUUGCGCGAUUGAAUGAGCCGAUGUCGGAUUAGCUAGUUGGCGGGGUAAAGGCCCACCAAGGCGACGAUCCGCAGCUGGUCUGAGAGAGUGAUCGGCCACACUGUAACGGAGACACGGUCCAGACUCCUACGGGAGGCAGCAGUGGGGAAUAUUGGACAAUGGGCGCAAGCCUGAUCCAGCCAUCCCGCGUGGGUGACGAAGGCCUUCGGGUUGUAAAGCCCUUUUGUUGGGAAAGAAAAGCAGCAGGUUAAUACCCCGCUGUUCUGGCGGUACCCAAAGAAUAAGCACCGGCUAACUUCGUG
rnacentral:rRNA from 1 species